UUUAGCAUGGAAUAAUGGAAUAGGACUCUGUCUCUAUUUUGUUGGUUUAUAGAGUGCAGGGUAAUGAUCAAUAGGAAUAAUCGGGGUGGUUAGUACUUCAUGGUCAGAGGUGAAAUUCUUGGAUUCAUGAAAGACUAACUUCUGCGAAAGCAUUCCGCAAGGGUGUUUCCAUUGAUCAAGAACGAAAGUUAGGGGAUCGAAGACGAUCAGAUACCGUCGUAGUCUUAACCAUAAACGAUGCCGACCAGGGAUCGGUUGAUGUCCCUUGGAUGACUCAUUCGGCACCUUGUGAGAAAUCACAAGUCUUUGGGCUCCGGGGGGAGUAUGGUCGCAAGGCUGAAACUUAAAGGAAUUGACGGAAGGGCACAACCAGGAGUGGAGCCUGCGGCUUAAUUUGACUCAACACGGGGAAACUUACCAGGUCCAGACAUAGUAAGGAUUGACAGACUGAGAGCUCUUUCUUGAUUCUAUGGGUGGUGGUGCAUGGUCGUUCUUAGUUGGUGGAGUGAUUCGUCUGGUCAAUUCCGAUAACGAACGAGACCUCAGCCUGCUAAAUAGUCACCAUAGCCGUCUAUAUGGGUGAAGCGUGGAUCGUGGGGGUGCUCCGGUGCCUCUGCCUCUGCGUGGAUCCCUGAUGUGCUAGUGGGUUGGACUUCUUAGAGGGACUAUUGGCGUUUAGCCAAUGGAAGUUUGAGGCAAUAACAGGUCUGUGAUGCCCUUAGAUGUCCUGGGCUGCACGCGCGCUACACUGCUCGGGUCAACAAGCUUUUACCUUGUCCGACGAGACUGGGGAAUCUUGUGAAAUCUGAGCGUGAUG
rnacentral:rRNA from 1 species